rnacentral:lncRNA from 1 species
GAACGAGAAGCGGCGGAAGAAGCGGGAAAGGCGGCGCUGCAGGUCCUGGGUCUCUUCGGGGCCCUCCCCCGCCUGGUUGCCUUCGACCUCGACUUCACCCUCUGGCCCUUCCACUGGUAAGAAAUUCCCGAGCUACGCCUGUUUCUGCUUGGACGCGAAAGGAGACCGCCAGAAGAUGCGUUGGUACAUGGGCGCAGGAUGAAUGGUUUCUGAAGCACAAAUUGGAUUUAGGAUUCAUCAGAUGAUGAUGAUGAUGAUGAUGAUGAUGAUGAUCCUCUCGGCGUAACUUGGUGAGCAUCUGUUUCCCUUUCAGCGCGCGAUGUGGAGAGUGGGAGGGAUUAGGGUCUGUGUUUGGGAUUCUUUCUUCAUCGAGUGAUGACUGAUUGUUUGGUUGGAUUCUGACGCUAACAUACUUUGUUUUUUUUGUUUGCUUUUCUCGAUACGGGGAAUCCUUUCCACUCUGGGGAACUUUAUUUAAAUUUAUCCAUCCAGUUUCUCUGCGUAGCAUCGUGUUCAACCUCCGAAUCCCUCCAACUACUCGUCUCCCACAUUCAUCUCGAUGGAGUUUCAUUUUUACCUGAAUUUUACGUUCAUCUGAUAAACAGACGGACUCAUUGACUAGGAAUCACACCUUACUGCGGACUCUUUUUCUUAUCUGCGAGCUUUCUCUAUCUCAUCUGCCCGACUGCGUCUGCGUCCUUCUCUUCUUGACGGCUGACCUUUUCUUCCUCACAACCCCCCCUCUUUUUCUUGGGUGAAGUAGGCUAUACCAGCUUCAUUGAUCUUGGCUUUCAGUCCAUUAAGUACGGACCAUAGUAGUCAGAUUCUGAAAAAUCACUAAGUUAUAUUCUAGUUCUAGCCUACUGAUUCCUCUUUGAACUAACCUGAAUAUUGCAAGUGCUUAAAUAGAUAAACUUUUGUAAGAGAGUGUGGUGGAACCCUAGUUGUGAAAAAACUCUCUUAACCAGUUCUUCAAAAUCAAGUAUCCAGCCUAAUAUUGAUUUCUGUGAGCCUCUUGUUUUACAGAUAUAUUAUUUUUCCUAACUAAUGUUUUGGAGAAUUAUGCCGCCCCCAGAAAUUUUCAAUGUGGUACUCAUCGAAUAAGAACACAAUAUUGGCAUUUCAAAUGUACAUUAUUUUAAGCGUUCAUGCCCUCUCUGUACCCACCCUUCAGUAGCUUCCUAGCAGUCUCUACUCUACUUACUGGUUCAAUAUGAGGGAUGAGUGGAUUGCCAACUGAAACGUAUUAAAUACAGGGGAUACACAAGGAAAAUUCGAAUGCUUGCUUCAGAGAGUGAUGCUGAGCCCACUCCCAAUCUUCGCCCAAACAGCGCGACUAGUUGAAGAACUAAAUGACCAGCUGUGAAAGGUUAGUGGAUAAGGGGAUGCCAUGCUGAAUUUGCUGAUGGUGGAGAAUUGGGCUUUGGAGUAUGUAGUUCAGAUUCCUUCUUUCGGCUUCCCAGUUCAUCUUUCCUGCUUGUAACAAGGUGACUGUAUCUUUUAAGAACCAGCUGAUCCUAUGGUUGAGCAUUAUGAGUGCCGCUCGAGUCCCGGGAGCUGAUCCAUGCGGAGUGCGACCCUCAUGUUCCCUCCACAUCUCCCAUUUAUUGAAACCAGGUCAACGUCAAUGGGGGGCCUUGGACAGGGUCAGAAUGUCUGGAGCCGUUUCCCGCUCUAGUGCAUCAUUUUCAUCUUCAUAUAGCCCGGAUGGCCUCGGCGGGUCUGGCCCUUGUAGUAGGAGAGUCUUACCCCUGGCACCUGCGGCCGUAUGGGUUGGUGCAAGAGAGAGUAGAACGGAAGU